CUCGUCCUCCGGGGAUGGUGGGGGACGACUGUUGGGACCGCCUCUGGCUAAAGAGGAGGAAGGAAUGGGCAACGGUAGGUCAGCAUGCCCCGAAUUAUCUGGGCUACACGCGGGCUACAAUGGGUGGGACAAUGGGUAUCGACACCGAAAGGUGAAGGCAAUCUCCUAAACCCAUCCGUAGUUCGGAUUGUGGGCUGCAACUCGCCCACAUGAAGCUGGAAUCUGUAGUAAUCGUGUCUCAAAAUGGCACGGUGAAUAUGUCCCUGCUCCUU
rnacentral:rRNA from 1 species